UGCAGUCGAACGGUAGCACAGAGAGCUUGCUCUCGGGUGACGAGUGGCGGACGGGUGAGUAAUGUCUGGGAAACUGCCUGAUGGAGGGGGAUAACUACUGGAAACGGUAGCUAAUACCGCAUAACGUCGCAAGACCAAAGAGGGGGACCUUCGGGCCUCUUGCCAUCAGAUGUGCCCAGAUGGGAUUAGCUAGUAGGUGGGGUAACGGCUCACCUAGGCGACGAUCCCUAGCUGGUCUGAGAGGAUGACCAGCCACACUGGAACUGAGACACGGUCCAGACUCCUACGGGAGGCAGCAGUGGGGAAUAUUGCACAAUGGGCGCAAGCCUGAUGCAGCCAUGCCGCGUGUAUGAAGAAGGCCUUCGGGUUGUAAAGUACUUUCAGCGGGGAGGAAGGGGAUAAGGUUAAUAACCUUGUUCAUUGACGUUACCCGCAGAAGAAGCACCGGCUAACUCCGUGCCAGCAGCCGCGGUAAUACGGAGGGUGCAAGCGUUAAUCGGAAUUACUGGGCGUAAAGCGCACGCAGGCGGUCUGUCAAGUCGGAUGUGAAAUCCCCGGGCUCAACCUGGGAACUGCAUUCGAAACUGGCAGGCUGGAGUCUUGUAGAGGGGGGUAGAAUUCCAGGUGUAGCGGUGAAAUGCGUAGAGAUCUGGAGGAAUACCGGUGGCGAAGGCGGCCCCCUGGGACAAAGACUGACGCUCACGUGCGAAAGCGUGGGGAGCAAACAGGGAUUAGAUAUCCUGGGUAGUCCACGCUGUAAACGAUGUC
rnacentral:rRNA from 1 species